UCCUCUCAGAUCUGAUCACGACUGCCUCA
rnacentral:piRNA from 1 species